rnacentral:rRNA from 1 species
GUUCCGGGCGGCUGCAGUGGGGAAUUUUGGACAAUGGGCGCAAGCCUGAUGGAGCGACGCCGCGUGGGGGAUGAAUGGCUUCGGCCCGUAAACCCCUGUCAUUCGCGAUCAAAUGUUGUUAUUUAAAAGAUGACAGCCUGAUAGUAGCGGACGAGGAAGGGACGGCUAACUCUGUGCCAGCAGCCGCGGUAAUACAGAGGUCCCAAGCGUUGUUCGGAUUCACUGGGCGUAAAGGGUGCGUAGGUGGCGGGGUAAGUCGGAUGUGAAAUCUCGGAGCUCAACUCCGAAAUGGCAUUGGAAACUACCCUGCUCGAGGAUUGGAGGGGGGACUGGAAUACUUGGUGUAGCAGUGAAAUGCGUAGAUAUCAAGUGGAACACCAGUGGCGAAGGCGAGUCCCUGGACAACUCCUGACACUGAGGCACGAAAGCUAGGGGAGCAAACA